rnacentral:rRNA from 1 species
GUUUGAUCUCAAAUCAGGAGACUACCCGUGUUUCAAGGGAAGUUGUUAGCAGGGGA